CCUACGGGAGGCAGCAGUGGGGAAUCUUGCACAAUGGGGGAAACCCUGAUGCAGCGACGCCGCGUGAGUGAAGAAGUAUUUCGGUACGUAAAGCUCUAUUAGCAGGGAAGAAAAUGACGGUACCUGACUAAGAAGCCCCGGCUAACUACGUGCCAGCAGCCGCGGUAAUACGUAGGGGGCACGCGUUAUCCGGAUUUACUGGGUGUAAAGGGAGCGUAGGCGGCGGUGCAAGCCAGAUGUGAAAGCCCGGGGCUCAACCCCGGGACUGCAUUUGGAACUGGGCUGCUAGAGUGUCGAAGAGGCGAGGGGAAGUCCUUGUGUAGCGGUGAAAUGCGUAGAUAGUAGGAGGAACACCAGUGGCGAAGGCGGCCUGCUGGACGAUGACUGACGUUGAGGCUCGAAAGCGUGGGGAGCAAACAGGAUUAGAUACCCUGGUAGUC
rnacentral:rRNA from 1 species